CCAUGCCGUAAACGGUGGGCGCUAGGUGUGGGUUUCCUUCCACGGGAUCCGUGCCGUAGCUAACGCAUUAAGCGCCCCGCCUGGGGAGUACGGCCGCAAGGCUAAAACUCAAAGGAAUUGACGGGGGCCCGCACAAGCGGCGGAGCAUGCGGAUUAAUUCGAUGCAACGCGAAGAACCUUACCAAGGUUUGAUAUGCACUGGUUUGGUCUAGAGAUAGGUUUUCCUUUUUUGGGCUGGUGUAAAGGUGGUGCAUGGUUGU
rnacentral:rRNA from 1 species